AUUGAACGCUGGCGGCAUGCCUUACACAUGCAAGUCGAACGGUAACGCGGGGCAACCUGGCGACGAGUGGCGAACGGGUGAGUAAUGCAUCGGAACGUGCCCAGUAGUGGGGGAUAGCCCGGCGAAAGCCGGAUUAAUACCGCAUACGACCUACGGGUGAAAGCGGGGGACCGUAAGGCCUCGCGCUAUUGGAGCGGCCGAUGUCAGAUUAGGUAGUUGGUGGGGUAAAGGCCUACCAAGCCUUCGAUCUGUAGCUGGUCUGAGAGGAUGAUCAGCCACACUGGCACUGAGAUACGGGCCAGACUCCUACGGGAGGCAGCAGUGAGGAAUAUUGCGCAAUGGGCGAAAGCCUGACGCAGCGACGCCGCGUGGGGGAUGAAGGUUUUUCGGAUUGUAAACCCCUUUCAUGAGGAAAGAUAAAGUGGGUAACCACUUAGACGGUACCUCAAGAAGAAGCCACGGCUAACUUCGUG
rnacentral:rRNA from 1 species